UAGGGAAUCUUCCGCAAUGGGCGAAAGCCUGACGGAGCAACGCCGCGUGAGUGAUGAAGGUCUUCGGAUCGUAAAACUCUGUUAUUAGGGAAGAACAAAUGUGUAAGUAACUAUGCACGUCUUGACGGUACCUAAUCAGAAAGCCACGGCUAACUACGUGCCAGCAGCCGCGGUAAUACGUAGGUGGCAAGCGUUAUCCGGAAUUAUUGGGCGUAAAGCGCGCGUAGGCGGUUUUUUAAGUCUGAUGUGAAAGCCCACGGCUCAACCGUGGGGAGUCAUUGGAAGCUGGAAAACUUGAGUGCAGAAGAGGAAAGUGGAAUUCCAUGUGUAGCGGUGAAAUGCGCAGAGAUAUGGAGGAACACCAGUGGCGAAGGCGACUUUCUGGUCUGUAACUGACGCUGAUGUGCGAAAGCGGGGGGAUCAAACAGG
rnacentral:rRNA from 1 species